AUGCGUUCUCAUUCUCAUUAUGUUUCUUCUUUCAUCAAAACUUCUUCUUAGGCGUUUGUUUGUUCAUAAGUUUUGGUUUUAAUCUCUUGUUCGUUAUGAUGUUUUACCAAAAUCGUUUUAUGAUUCUCUUGUACCCUUACGUUAUUCUUUUUCUUUUUAAUGGCAAACUCAAAUCCGGUGGUCAAGUUGAUGAUGACCAAUCUCAGAUCCUUGAUCCUGGUAGGGAUGAUGAUGAGGGCUUAAACCCACAUCCUUGAUCGCUGAUUAGGAAUGGUCUUAGAUGUUUCUUUUUUUGUUUUUUCUGUUUCAUUCGGAUGAUUUUAUGAAAUCGUUUUCUAUGUUUUUAAAAAAAAAAACUAUAUGAUUUUCAGUGGUAAUUCUCUAUGGGUCAAUCCCAUACCACAAUGGUUUAAUUGCCGUGUCCCACAUACCCAAAGCCCAAUACUAUUCGGCCCAAUAUGAUUUAAUGCCCUGAUAUUUAGUGGCUUUCGGUUCGUUGUUUCAAUCUCUAGGGUUUUUCAAAAGUCGACUCUCCCUCACCGGCGAGAUAUUCAACCGAGUCUCAGGCUUGUUUUCGAAAGUCGCAUCUCUCUCUCUCUUUCUACAGAGAUAUUCCACCACGAUUUGCAGAAUGACUGGAACAGAUAAAGCUUU